UACGUAGGUGGCAAGCGUUGUCCGGAUUUACUGGGCGUAAAGAGCGUGUAGGCGGCUAUUUAAGUCCUGCGUGAAAUCCUGCGGCUCAACCGCAGACGGUCGUGGGAAACUGGAUGGCUAGAGUGCGGGAGAGGAGAGUGGAAUUCCCGGUGUAGCGGUGAAGUGCGCAGAUAUCGGGAAGAACACCCGUGGCGAAGGCGGCUCUCUGGAACGCAACUGACGCUGAGACGCGAAAGCGUGGGGAGCAAACAGG
rnacentral:rRNA from 1 species